rnacentral:sRNA from 1 species
AUUACUCUUUCUGUUCGUAGCGAAUUUCAAUAUAAAUAAGAUUUCAGUUCAUGCCAUGGAAUUUUCAUAGAUAUCCUGUAAUCUAUAAUACAUUUAUAUUGGCCAGACACUACGAUAAAACGAGAUUAUUAACAAAUUCUAUUUGUUUGUAGUAUAAUCCAGGAGUGUACUACUACUUGAUUAUACUAUUCAUCUGCAAGGUCCUUAAGGCUGCCUUUUUAGAGAUUAGAUAAUUUGGUAAAUAUUUACUCGAUUAUUUCUCGAACUUCAGUUUUACUGCGGGAUUCAUAAAAGGUAUUUGAGUCAAAACCUUGCAACAAAUUUUCUUAUAGAAAUCUUA